rnacentral:rRNA from 1 species
UAGUCCACGCCGUAAACGAUGUCUACUAGCCGUUGGGAGACUUGAUUUCUUAGUGGCGCAGCUAACGCAAUAAGUAGACCGCCUGGGGAGUACGGCCGCAAGGUUAAAACUCAAAUGAAUUGACGGGGGCCCGCACAAGCGGUGGAGCAUGUGGUUUAAUUCGAUGCAACGCGAAGAACCUUACCAGGUCUUGACAUCCUCAGAACUUUCCAGAGAUGGAUUGGUGCCUUCGGGAACUGAGUGACAGGUGCUGCAUGGCUGUCGUCAGCUCGUGUCGUGAGAUGUUGGGUUAAGUCCCGCAACGAGCGCAACCCUUGUCCUUAGUUGCCAGCAUGUAAUGAUGGGGACUCUAAGGAGACUGCCGGCGCAAGCCGCGAGGAAGGUGGGGAUGACGUCAAAUCAUCAUGGGCCUUUAUGCCCAGGGCUACACACGUGCUACAAUGGUCGGUACAGAGGGCAGCGAAGCCGCGAGGUGGAGCCAAUCCCAUAAAACCGAUCCCG